UCAAGUGAAGAAGCGCAUACGGUGGAUGCCUUGGCAGUCAGAGGCGAUGAAAGACGUGGUAGCCUGCGAAAAGCUUCGGGGAGUCGGCAAACAGACUUUGAUCCGGAGAUCUCUGAAUGGGGGAACCCACCUAGGAUAACCUAGGUAUCUUGUACUGAAUCCAUAGGUGCAAGAGGCGAACCAGGGGAACUGAAACAUCUAAGUACCCUGAGGAAAAGAAAUCAACCGAGAUUCCCUUAGUAGUGGCGAGCGAACGGGGAUUAGCCCUUAAGCUUCAUUGAUUUUAGCGGAACGCUCUGGAAAGUGCGGCCAUAGUGGGUGAUAGCCCCGUACGCGAAAGGAUCUUUGAAGUGAAAUCGAGUAGGACGGAGCACGAGAAACUUUGUCUGAACAUGGGGGGACCAUCCUCCAAGGCUAAAUACUACUGACUGACCGAUAGUGAACCAGUACCGUGAGGGAAAGGCGAAAAGAACCCCGGAGAGGGGAGUGAAAUAGAACCUGAAACCGUAUGCGUACAAGCAGUGGGAGCCUACUUGUUAGGUGACUGCGUACCUUUUGUAUAAUGGGUCAGCGACUUAUAUUCAGUGGCAAGCUUAACCGUAUAGGGUAGGCGUAGCGAAAGCGAGUCUUAAUAGGGCGUUUAGUCGCUGGGUAUAGACCCGAAACCGGGCGAUCUAUCCAUGAGCAGGUUGAAGGUUAGGUAACACUGACUGGAGGACCGAACCCACUCCCGUUGAAAAGGUAGGGGAUGACUUGUGGAUCGGAGUGAAAGGCUAAUCAAGCUCGGAGAUAGCUGGUUCUCCUCGAAAGCUAUUUAGGUAGCGCCUCAUGUAUCACUCUGGGGGGUAGAGCACUGUUUCGGCUAGGGGGUCAUCCCGACUUACCAAACCGAUGCAAACUCCGAAUACCCAGAAGUGCCGAGCAUGGGAGACACACGGCGGGUGCUAACGUCCGUCGUGAAAAGGGAAACAACCCAGACCGCCAGCUAAGGUCCCAAAGUUGUGGUUAAGUGGUAAACGAUGUGGGAAGGCUUAGACAGCUAGGAGGUUGGCUUAGAAGCAGCCAUCCUUUAAAGAAAGCGUAAUAGCUCACUAGUCGAGUCGGCCUGCGCGGAAGAUGUAACGGGGCUCAAACCACACACCGAAGCUGCGGGUGUCACGUAAGUGACGCGGUAGAGGAGCGUUCUGUAAGCCUGUGAAGGUGAGUUGAGAAGCUUGCUGGAGGUAUCAGAAGUGCGAAUGCUGACAUGAGUAACGACAAUGGGUGUGAAAAACACCCACGCCGAAAGACCAAGGGUUCCUGCGCAACGUUAAUCGACGCAGGGUUAGUCGGUUCCUAAGGCGAGGCUGAAAAGCGUAGUCGAUGGGAAACAGGUUAAUAUUCCUGUACUUCUGGUUACUGCGAUGGAGGGACGGAGAAGGCUAGGCCAGCUUGGCGUUGGUUGUCCAAGUUUAAGGUGGUAGGCUGAAAUCUUAGGUAAAUCCGGGGUUUCAAGGCCGAGAGCUGAUGACGAGUCGUCUUUUAGAUGACGAAGUGGUUGAUGCCAUGCUUCCAAGAAAAGCUUCUAAGCUUCAGGUAACCAGGAACCGUACCCCAAACCGACACAGGUGGUCGGGUAGAGAAUACCAAGGCGCUUGAGAGAACUCGGGUGAAGGAACUAGGCAAAAUGGCACCGUAACUUCGGGAGAAGGUGCGCCGGCUAGGGUGAAGGAUUUACUCCGUAAGCUCUGGCUGGUCGAAGAUACCAGGCCGCUGCGACUGUUUAUUAAAAACACAGCACUCUGCAAACACGAAAGUGGACGUAUAGGGUGUGACGCCUGCCCGGUGCCGGAAGGUUAAUUGAUGGGGUUAGCGCAGCGAAGCUCUUGAUCGAAGCCCCGGUAAACGGCGGCCGUAACUAUAACGGUCCUAAGGUAGCGAAAUUCCUUGUCGGGUAAGUUCCGACCUGCACGAAUGGCGUAACGAUGGCGGCGCUGUCUCCACCCGAGACUCAGUGAAAUUGAAAUCGCUGUGAAGAUGCAGUGUAUCCGCGGCUAGACGGAAAGACCCCGUGAACCUUUACUGUAGCUUUGCACUGGACUUUGAGCCUGCUUGUGUAGGAUAGGUGGGAGGCUUUGAAGCGUGGACGCCAGUUCGCGUGGAGCCAUCCUUGAAAUACCACCCUGGCAUGCUUGAGGUUCUAACUCUGGUCCGUGAUCCGGAUCGAGGACAGUGUAUGGUGGGCAGUUUGACUGGGGCGGUCUCCUCCUAAAGAGUAACGGAGGAGUACGAAGGUGCGCUCAGACCGGUCGGAAAUCGGUCGUAGAGUAUAAAGGCAAAAGCGCGCUUGACUGCGAGACAGACACGUCGAGCAGGUACGAAAGUAGGUCUUAGUGAUCCGGUGGUUCUGUAUGGAAGGGCCAUCGCUCAACGGAUAAAAGGUACUCCGGGGAUAACAGGCUGAUACCGCCCAAGAGUUCAUAUCGACGGCGGUGUUUGGCACCUCGAUGUCGGCUCAUCACAUCCUGGGGCUGAAGCCGGUCCCAAGGGUAUGGCUGUUCGCCAUUUAAAGUGGUACGCGAGCUGGGUUUAGAACGUCGUGAGACAGUUCGGUCCCUAUCUGCCGUGGACGUUUGAGAUUUGAGAGGGGCUGCUCCUAGUACGAGAGGACCGGAGUGGACGAACCUCUGGUGUUCCGGUUGUCACGCCAGUGGCAUUGCCGGGUAGCUAUGUUCGGAAAAGAUAACCGCUGAAAGCAUCUAAGCGGGAAACUUGCCUCAAGAUGAGAUCUCACUGGGAACUUGAUUCCCCUGAAGGGCCGUCGAAGACUACGACGUUGAUAGGCUGGGUGUGUAAGCGUUGUGAGGCGUUGAGCUAACCAGUACUAAUUGCCCGUGAGGCUUGACCA
rnacentral:rRNA from 1 species